CGUGUAGGCGGUUUGGUAAGUUGGGCGUGAAAGCUCCCGGCUCAACUGGGAGAGGUCGUCCAAGACUACCAGACUAGAGAGCGAUAGAGGAAAAUGGAAUUCCCGGUGUAGUGGUGAAAUGCGUAGAUAUCGGGAGGAACACCAGUGGCGAAGGCGAUUUUCUGGAUCGUUUCUGACGCUCAGACGCGAAAGCUAGGGUAGCAAGCG
rnacentral:rRNA from 1 species